UUCCAUCUUCACCAAACCUUUUCUUCACCUUAGAGCCAGCUAUUUUCAACUGAUCCACCUCGCCUCCUUUAGGUUGAAGAAUAAGUCCAAAUAGUUACAAUGAACAUAGUAUUCCCAACAAUGAGAAGAUAUCAACAAAGGAUUUGGAGAUUAACGGAGCAGAAGGAGAAAUCUCAAGAAACCACCACCGAUCUCCACCCUAAGACCAGUGAAAAGAUCGUUCUUUGCCGCAAAUCGUCGAAGAAAUUCGGUAAUAUUGUCCUCCGACAUAUUUCGGCCCGGUGUCCAAUAACGGUGUCGUCGGCAUAUCUUCCGUUCUUAGGAUUUGGCUCAAGGCUGCCAUCUAUUGGGUUUCUAAAUUGAAUUGAAGUUCGAUUGAAAAAGGCUGAGCGGUGUGUUUUAUUAUUAUUUUUUUUGGCAAUCUCCCCUCUUCUGCAAAAUAGUUGCUGAAGAAAACUGGAGACAAGAUGAUUUGCUGGUGAAAAUCUUUACUUAAGUGGGUUAGGAUGAUUUUUGAUUUGGGUUUGAGAAAGAAAAAAGAAAUAAAAACGUGUAAGGGGGAGCAAUGGUGAUAAUUUUUUUUAAAAAAUAAAUACACAUGUCAUUUAGUGAUUUAUCCGUUUGACAUAUCAUCUGCAAUUGUAAUAUACACAUGAAGUUUGUUGGUCUUUAGUGUUUAGUUGACAUAUUUUAUUAAAGACAAAAGUGUUCAACUAAAAAUAGGUUCAGUUGGUCAUGUAUUCCGC
rnacentral:lncRNA from 1 species